rnacentral:rRNA from 1 species
CCCGCCGCGUCGAUUACUUUGCAAUGCGGGAAACCGUGACAAGGGAACUCUGAGUGCCCGUUAAAUCGGGCUGUCCAUCGGUUUAAAUAACCGGUGAAGAAAGGGCCGGGCAAGACCGGUGCCAGCCGCCGCGGUAAUACCGGCGGCUCGAGUGGUGGCCACUAUUACUGGGCUUAAAGCGUUCGUAGCUGGUUUGUUAAGUCUCUGGGGAAAUCUUCCGGCUCAACCGGAAGGCGUCUCAGGGAUACUGGCAAACUAGGGACCGGGAGAGGUGAGAGGUACUCCAGGGGUAGGAGUGAAAUCCUGUAAUCCUUGGGGGACCACCUGUGGCGAAGGCGUCUCACCAGAACGGCUCCGACAGUGAGGGACGAAAGCUGGGGGAGCAAACCGGAUUAGAUACCCGGGUAGUCCCAGCUGUAAACGAUGCGCGUUAGGUGUAUCGGUGACCACGAGUCACCGAGGUGCCGAAGAGAAAUCGUGAAACGUGCCGCCUGGGAAGUACGGUCGCAAGGCUGAAACUUAAAGGAAUUGGCGGGGGAGCAC